rnacentral:rRNA from 1 species
UACGGAGGAUCCGAGCGUUAUCCGGAUUUAUUGGGUUUAAAGGGAGCGUAGGCGGGUUGUUAAGACAGUUGUGAAAGUUUGCGUCUCAACCGUAAAAUUGCAGUUGAUACUGGCAUCCUUGAGUACAGUAGAGGUAGGCGGAAUUCGUGGUGUAGCGGUGAAAUGCUUAGAUAUCACGCAGAACCCCGAUUGCGAAGGCAGCAUGCCGGCUUCCUACUGACGCUGAAGCACGAAAGCGUGGGGAUCGAACAGG